rnacentral:rRNA from 1 species
UCGAUGAAGAACGCAGCGAAAUGCGAUAAGUAAUGUGAAUUGCAGAUUUUCAGUGAAUCAUCGAAUCUUUGAACGCACCUUGCGCUCCUUGGUAUUCCGAGGAGCAUGCCUGUUUGAGUGUCAUUAAAUUCUCAACUCUGAUCGAUUUGUUUCGACUUCGGAGCUUGGAUUUGGAGCGUGCUGGCGUCGGUCGGCUCCUCUUAAAUGCAUCAGCGGAAUCUAACGUUUCGGACGUCAGUGUGAUAAUCAUGUUGCGCUGUCUGUCUGAUCUGAAAGCCCGCUCACAAUGGUCUUCGGACAACUUCAUAUCAAAUUUGACCUCAAAUCAGGUAGGACUACCCGCUGAACUUAA